GCAGGAGCUACAAAGCAAGAUGAAGCAAGAGAGAGAUCAGUAGUUGAAUUGGACACAGAGAAAUCACGAAUAGCUCAAAGAUGAAGUUAAUCACUUUGAGGUAAUGUUGACCACAUAAACUCCCUUUGACCAAAAAUCACAACCACUCUCCAAGCAAAACUUCAUUAAGGCAAAUAUAAUAUUGAGAUUAGCCAUUAAAUAUACGCAACUAAUGUGUUUGGUUGGUGAUCAAACGAUAAAUUAAAUACUUGUUUUUCUUUUC